CAACAACAGGACGAGGUCAGUAAGUGAUCAUGAAGGCUCAUAGCCUAGGUGUGUGGUCUCCAUUGCACUUAGGAGAUGCGCUCGCUUAACAUCUCCCCAAGUGGGAGAGUGUACGUCAUAAUUUGUGAUAAUGGGGGCCUAUGUUCGCACGCCCCUU